rnacentral:rRNA from 1 species
AUGAACGCUGGCGGCGUGCCUAAUACAUGCAAGUCGAGCGAACAGACGAGGAGCUUGCUCCUCUGACGUUAGCGGCGGACGGGUGAGUAACACGUGGAUAACCUACCUAUAAGACUGGGAUAACUUCGGGAAACCGGAGCUAAUACCGGAUAAUAUAUUGAACCGCAUGGUUCAAUAGUGAAAGACGGUUUUGCUGUCACUUAUAGAUGGAUCCGCGCCGCAUUAGCUAGUUGGUAAGGUAACGGCUUACCAAGGCAACGAUGCGUAGCCGACCUGAGAGGGUGAUCGGCCACACUGGAACUGAGACACGGUCCAGACUCCUACGGGAGGCAGCAGUAGGGAAUCUUCCGUAAUGGGCGAAAGCCUGACGGAGCAACGCCGCGUGAGUGAUGAAGGUCUUCGGAUCGUAAAACUCUGUUAUUAGGGAAGAACAAAUGUGUAAGUAACUAUGCACGUCUUGACGGUACCUAAUCAGAAAGCCACGGCUAACUACGUG